rnacentral:tRNA from 2 species
GGAGGCACUUCUCGUCUGGUGACGGGCCUGGUCUUCAAAAUCAGUCGGGCCGCGGCGGGAGCCGGGGCCGGUGGGUUCGAUUCCCAUGUGCCUCCG